AGGGUGUAAACGCUGCAGACUUGGUGUUGGAGGCCCUUUGGGGGCAUUCAGUGCCGGAGAGAAGUUGUUAAGUCUGCUACUUGGGGAGUACGUCCGCAAGGAUGAAACUUAAAGGAAUUGGCGGGGGGAGCACCGCAACGGGAGGAGCGUGCGGUUUAAUUGGAUUCAACACCGUAAACUCACCAGGGAAGACUGUUACAUGAAGGCCGAGAUGAAGACUCUGCAUGACUAGCUGAGAGGUGGUGCAUGGCGUAGACGUCU
rnacentral:rRNA from 1 species